rnacentral:rRNA from 1 species
UACGUAGGUGGCAAGCGUUGUCCGGAUUUACUGGGCGUAAAGGGCGUGCAGGCGGUCUGUUAAGUGCAGGGUGAAAGCUCCCGGCUCAACUGGGAGAGGUCCUUGCAUACUGGCGGGCUUGAGGGGGGUAGAGGAAAGUGGAAUUCCCGGUGUAGUGGUGAUAUGCGUAGAUAUCGGGAGGAACACCGGUGGCGAAGGCGGCUUUCUGGGCCCUUACUGACGCUGAGACGCGAAAGCGUGGGGAGCGAACCGG